UAUUGUUUAUUAUAUAGAGAGUUUAAAAUAUAUAUAUAUUAUAUAUCCAGCAGUGGGGAUGCAGCAAGCAUACAAUGAGAAAAAGCAGAAAGAAGAAUGACCCCGUGCCAGUGUUAUAAGCAGCUUCCUGAAAACAGCUUGCAGCCAGGAAAACUGCUGGAUCAAAUCCCUCGGAGGAGGAGAAAGUCCAGGGGAGAUGUCUCCACCACCUCCCUGCGACAGAGGGACAAAAGGAGAAGGAUGGACCAACACCUACACAACGCCUACUCCAGAAUGCAGCGCAGGAAGAGGAUGGAAGAUAGGACAAACAAGGGCAGCUCGUGCAAGAACACCUGUAUUAGGAUUGAGUUUGUUUUGCAGAGCAUUUUCUGGAUUAACUUCAAAUGACCCAGCUGGCUUUGGAGGAUCCACCUUCCCACAGGUGCUUGUUUUGCCUAAUUGGUAUUCCUGAGUAUUCAUCUACUUCAUGCUUUUGGGGGGGCAUUUUGGACAAAUUUUAGCUGCCUUGAGUGAGCUCGAAGACAGAUAGGAAUAAAGGAUGGAGUUAAAAUUGUCA
rnacentral:lncRNA from 1 species